rnacentral:rRNA from 1 species
GAUGAACGCUGGCGGCGUGCCUAAUACAUGCAAGUCGAGCGAACAGACGAGGAGCUUUCUCCUCUGACGUUAGCGGCGGACGGGUGAGUAACACGUGGAUAACCUACCUAUAAGACUGGGAUAACUUCGGGAAACCGGAGCUAAUACCGGAUAAUAUAUUGAACCGCAUGGUUCAAUAGUGAAAGACGGUUUUGCUGUCACUUAUAGAUGGAUCCGCGCCGCAUUAGCUAGUUGGUAAGGUAACGGCUGACCAAGGCAACGAUGCGUAGCCGACCUGAGAGGGUGAUCGGCCACACUGGAACUGAGACACGGUCCAGACUCCUACGGGAGGCAGCAGUAGGGAAUCUUCCGCAAUGGGCGAAAGCCUGACGGAGCAACGCCGCGUGAGUGAUGAAGGUCUUCGGAUCGUAAAACUCUGUUAGUAGGGAAGAACAAAUGUGUAAGUAACUAUGCACGUCUUGACGGUACCUAAUCAGAAAGCCACGGCUAACUACGUG